rnacentral:tRNA from 1 species
GGAAGGGUGGCCGAGUGGUUGAAGGCGACGGUCUUGAAAACCGUUAGACCUGCAAAGGUCUCGUGGGUUCGAAUCCCACCCCUUCCG